GGCACCAUGGCUUAGUUGGUUAAAGCAUCUGUCUAGUAAACAGAUCCUGGGUUCAAAUCCCAGUGGUGCCU